rnacentral:rRNA from 1 species
UACGUAGGGGGCAAGCGUUGUCCGGAUUUACUGGGCGUAAAGCGCGUGUAGGCGGCUACGCAGGUCCGUUGUGAAAACUGGAGGCUCAACCUCCAGACGUCGACGGAAACCGUGUGGCUAGAGUCCGGAAGAGGAGAGUGGAAUUCCUGGUGUAGCGGUGAAAUGCGCAGAUAUCAGGAAGAACACCAAUGGCGAAGGCAGCUCUCUGGGACGGUACUGACGCUGAGACGCGAAAGCGUGGGGAGCGAACAGG